UAUCAAUAAGCGGAGGAAAAGAAACCAACAGGGAUUGCCCUAGUAACGGCGAGUGAAGCGGCAACAGCUCAAAUUUGAAAUCUGGCGCAAGCCCGAGUUGUAAUUUGUAGAGGAUGCUUCUAGGUAGCGACCGGUCUAAGUUCCUUGGAACAGGACGUCAUAGAGGGUGAGAAUCCCGUAUGUGACCGGCCCGCACCUUCUACGUAGCUCCUUCGACGAGUCGAGUUGUUUGGGAAUGCAGCUCUAAAUGGGAGGUAAAUUUCUUCUAAAGCUAAAUACCGGCCAGAGACCGAUAGCGCACAAGUAGAGUGAUCGAAAGAUGAAAAGCACUUUGGAAAGAGAGUUAAAAAGCACGUGAAAUUGUUGAAAGGGAAGCGCUCACAACCAGACUUCUGGGCGGUGUUCCGCCGGUCUUCUGACCGGUCUACUCGCCGUCCCGAGGCCAACAUCAUCUGGGACCGCUGGAUAAGACCUCAGGAAUGUAGCUUCCCUCGGGAAGUGUUAUAGCCUGUGGUGAUGCAGCGCGUCUCGGGUGAGGUCCGCGCUUCGGCAAGGAUGUUGGCGUAAUGGUUGUCAGCGGCCCGUCUUGAAACACGGACCAAGGAGUCUAACAUCUAUGCGAGUGUUCGGGUGUCAAACCCCUACGCGUAAUGAAAGUGAACGGAGGUGGGAAGCGCAAGCUGCACCAUCGACCGAUCCUGAUGUCCUCGGAUGGAUUUGAGUAAGAGCAUAGCUGUUGGGACCCGAAAGAUGGUGAACUAUGCCUGAAUAGGGUGAAGCCAGAGGAAACUCUGGUGGAGGCUCGCAGCGGUUCUGACGUGCAAAUCGAUCGUCAAAUUUGGGUAUAGGGGCGAAAGACUAAUCGAACCAU
rnacentral:rRNA from 1 species